rnacentral:sRNA from 1 species
UUUUUACCUCUCUUUU